ensembl:lncRNA
CAAGUUGUCUCUUUGAGGUUUAUGGCCAUGACAGAGAAAGGGAACAGUAAGACAGACAUUUACAGCAGUCUUUGUGCUGACAAGCAGCAAGGAGCAAAGCUUCAGAUUUGCUCUUUUCAGCUCAAGUCAUCCAAUGCCUGGGGAGAUCUGCAGCCAAGGAAAAGCCUAUAACAGAGGGAAUGUUCUGACAUUGGAACAAUACAGAGAAAAAUAUGCACACGCAUUAUGAACAAGAUCUGCCAUUCUAUACUGACAUAAAAGAAGCACUUCCCAGAAGCCUGAAACCUAGAAAAUGCAUUAAGGUUUAUCCUCCACAUCAACUGGAAAGAAAAGCUUAAGAAAUGGAAAAAUGGAAGUAAAGAGCACUCUUAUACCUGAAGCUUAGCAGAGCGGAGACCAGAUGGAGCAGCGUGCUGUGGCUCCUGUGACACAUCACUUCCCUGAAGCAUCAUGAUGAUGAACCCUUGUUGUCUAGCCUAAGUGGCAGAAAGUAUCCAAAGCCUAGAAAGGUGUACUGCCAUUGUUCCUGUAUGGGCUUGUGCUGGAAAUGGAAAUCAGGUGUACACAGUCUGUCGUUAAAAAAUAUACUGCUGUUAAGUUGCUGUUUCUUUUAAAAAUAAACCUUCAAAGUCUGUCUACAACACCUGAUCUCAGCUACCACCGUAUUUUGUCCUUAGCUUUGUUAGACUCUAAACUUGUAAUGCAUUACAACAUUUCAACAAGAAUAGGAAGAAAUGUCAAUGCAUCUUAACUAUGCCACCCAUCCAAGUUCCCAAAAUUAUACUGAUUGUUACCUAGAACAGUGAAGUGUGUUACACUGUAACACAUGUUCUGGAGCAUUUUAUGGGUUAUUUCUAUCAAUAUCUAUUACGCUUAGCAUUCCAGUUAGAACCAAUUUAUUUUCAUUGUUACUGGCCACUGAUAUAGUAUAUUUUAGGUAUGAUAAUUAUCUAUGAUUAAUAAUUUUUUCACCUAAGUUGCAUGUCUGUAGUGUAAUUGAGUAAUCAUCUGAUGUCACUGCAUCUGAUACAAUAAAAUAAGAACUGUAGACUGCAAAGGAACUGCUUAAAGCCAUUUCUCUUUGUCAGACUUGGAAUCCUCAUUCUUGUAUUCUAAAUUUGGCGUUCCAUUCCACAUAAACCUCAAGAUAUAGAUGCUGAUUCUUUGAGGAGUUACUCUAUCCUUCAAUCCCAAGGGGUUGUUUUAUGCAGCAUCCCCAGGGCAAUUUGCCUCCAGUUCUGACAUGGCAGCAAACCUUUGCUGACAGAAUCAA